GGCCAGUGCAAAGGGGCUCUUUCCCCCUGCCUGCCUGUGAGAAGCUCUUGCUGGUGCCGCUGGUCUCUUGCCGCCCUCCUGGCCAAGGACUUCUUGGCUCCGGCGCAGUUGCACGUGGUGGUGCCGCUGCCCAUCGUUGGCCAUGGAAUUGCAGGAAAAAGCAUGAGCCAAGAUGACAAGCCCAGCCGAGUGAUGAAUGUAGCCAAGGAAAUGUCUGUACAGAGGAUCAUUUUCAUGAUGGAUUUUGAUGAACCCUUCUGCCAUCAUGUUCAUAUUCAAUGAAGAAGAGGAAAUGAGACGUGGAUGCAGGGCAGCCAGCCUCACCCUGAUCCCUGAAUAGAUUAUGGAACAAAUCCUCCUUGCAGUCACAUUCAUGGCCACAAAGGAUAAGGUGACCACUGAUAUCAAUAGCCCAGUCUGGUUGCCUUCUGUGAAGGGUCCUAUGGACAAGGGGAGAGCAGUGGAUGUUUACCCUAUCUUACAAAUUACAACAAGAACAAAAAUGUGGAGUGGAUGGAAAUCCAACAAAAUGGAUGGAAAGCUGUGUGUACUGCUGUGACUGGCAAUCAACAGCUUGAAGUCUAGAAGGCGGUCAGCUGGGAAUGGAGAACCUCCACAGCUGGUAGUGAAAGUAACAGUGUUUUAUGGUUUACUCACCUGGUGAUGGGAUACACCGUGCCCUCAGCAAACUGGCGGAUAACACCAAACUGAAUAAUGGGGGGAGGAGGAGAGCAGGACAGCCUAAAACAUGGGAGGAAAGUUCAUUCAGUUGCAUUGCUACCGGUUGGAGUGAUGGGCUGACAGAAAAUUCAUUAAGCUCAUCGGAUCUGCAUCUGGGAAAAAAUAAACCAAGGGAUCUGGGAAUAAUGGUGGACACAAUAAGUGUCAGCAGCAUGCCUCCUGGCUCUCGUGAAGGCCAACCCCAUACCAGGCUGCAUAAGAAAUGCAUUGUCAAGAGGUUAAAGGAAGUGAUUUUUCUCCUGUAUUCAACACUUGUAAGGCAGAUCUGGAGUUCAUGAUCGGUCUGGGGCUUCCCAGUACAAGAACAGAUAUUAACAAAUCUGAGUAUAGCAGAGAACCAACAAAACUGUUAAAAGACUAACAUGUGGCACAGCCCAAAGGAGGCUAAGCUGGGAUUGUUCAACCUGAACAUUAAGGUUGCAGGGUCUACAGACUACGAAUACCUGGUGGAUAAUUAUAGAAAAGAGAGAGCCAGACUCUUCUCAAAAGAAAAAAUAGAAGAGGUGGUAGGAAAGCUACAGAAAGUGAAUCUGACUGUGCAUCAGAAAAAAACACACACUGAAGAUGCUACAAAACUGGAACAGGAAACCGUAGAGGCUGUCAAACAUCCUGGAAAUACACAAAAUUUGGCCCACUUUCAAAGUCAGCCGUGCUUCGAUAAGGAGAGGUUGACCCAGGUGACCUUCUGAAGCCUCUUCAACCCAAACUAUUCAACGAUUCUAAAAGCUGAAAAUAAGAAUGCAAGCUUCACAGUGUGGCUAACAAAACACACAGACGUCUGUUUCUGUUAUCUUAUGCCGUGUAACACUGCAUUCUACUAACUCAAGAUAGUUUUCAUAGCAUCAUCAGUUUUAACUUAAGCCCUCAUUAUCAAAUAGUCCAGGCCACAUAUGCGUUCAGGUACAGAUACUCUGUAAAAAGCAUAAAUCCUACAAGAAAUAGCACUGAAGAGUUCAGGAGUGAUGUUUAUCUCUAUGCAAGUAAAGUACCCCAAUUCCAGGCACAACUCAAGUCCUGGCCAUCUCUUCUUCCGUCCAACAGCUCUGGUUAUUUCUUUGACACGUGAAGAGAAACAACAUGAACUGUGGUUAAUAUCCUUUGUGGAAUACGGUAUUAAGUCAUGUACUGUUCCAGGUACACAAGAGCUAGGAUCUUGCAUACACUGAAAUGUUGCCUCUAAAGCAUGAGAAGUUUUCCUCCUACAGCUGCAGCAAACAUUUAUGAAAAUGACUUCCAUAGCUUAACUUUGGUUUACUUCUUUGCAUGUUUUCAUAAAAAUUCUAUGACCUAAAGAUGUGAAGACAGCAUCACAGCUGACAUUUGUUGUGUUCUGUUGUUGUUUUUAAAACCACUAACUACAUUUCUACAGAUUUUUCAAAAAGUCAACAUUUAUUCAAAAUUUUUUAUACUAUCAGCAAUCCUUCGGGAAGAAUUAUGCUUUUAAAAAUAAAUGUUUAAACAGUAAGAUGUAAAGCUAAUAACGGUCUUCAGUUUAUGAACACCUUACCCAAAAGCAGAUGGGGAACACGCAACUGAAGAAGUGCAGCAAUCUCCUUGUGAGAAGGUAAAAACCUCUUCAUAUGAUCACAUGAAACGGCAACUAAGAAGGUGACUACUUGCCCAUUUCCUGCUCACUGUUUUCUACGCCGGUUACAAGCAGAAUGAUUGACCACUGCAUUGUAUAGCUCUUUGCUUCCUUCUGGUCACGAUCACACCACCUUCUACUCAGAGAAACAAGAACAUUCAAUGCAGAUUUACUAAAAGAACUCUUUCCAGUUGAUGGUAAAUUACAUAUAACAAUGACUUUUAUCACGACAGAGAAUGUAAGAAUGGUUAAGAGGAUACGCUCGACAGUUAACAGGAUAUGCUGACCAUACUUUCCUCGUUGUGUCACGAAUUCUAGGAGUCAUGAAAGAAUACAGACACUGGGAUUCUUUACAAAAUCUUGUACUAGUCUACUUCUGGAACGAUUAAACAUCUGUGACAGAGAGUCUAUCCACUCCAUAUAGGGAAACAUUUAUGUAGUACCAUCAGUUAAAGCCUGAAGGAAAGGAACAACUGUUUAAACCAGUUUACCAAAACUAAACGUACAUCGAGAAGAAAAAAAAAUAUAAGUGGAUGCAAAAAAGAGGGCAUGUCUAGCUAUAGCAUAGACUCCUUCAUAACUAAGGAAACAAAUAAUACUCUUACGUUUGCUAGGGUGCCCGUUCAGCCACACGCUUAACCACAGCUUCCAUUUAACACAUUCGUCUUUAAGGAGCAGGAAUUAGAAGCCUGUGACCGAUUUGCACUCAAAAAACUCCCAAGAUCCUGCACCUUCUGCCCCCCGCCCUAGCUCUUUUCUGUUGCACAUCUUCCUCUCCCCAGGUAGCAGGCACAAAUAAAACAAACCAAUAAAGUUCAUCCACCUGAGCUGAGGUUUUGUUUGCUUUGUUUUUUUUUUUUUUUUUUGGACGGACAAUUCUGCCA